UACGUAGGCAGCGAGCGUUGUUCGGAAUUACUGGGCGUAAAGGGCGCGUAGGCGGUCGGAUAAGUCUUGUGUGAAAUCUUCGGGCUCAACUCGAAGUCUGCACAGGAAACUAUCUGGCUUGAGUGUGGGAGAGGUGAGUGGAAUUCCUGGUGUAGCGGUGAAAUGCGUAGAUAUCAGGAGGAACACCUGUGGCGAAAGCGGCUCACUGGACCACAACUGACGCUGAGGCGCGAAAGCUAGGGGAGCAAACAGG
rnacentral:rRNA from 1 species